AAUCAACGCUGGCGGCGUGCCUCAGACAUGCAAGUCGAACGCGAAAGUCCCCUUCGGGGGACAAGUAGAGUGGCGCACGGGUGAGUAACACGUAGGUAAUCUACCUUCGGAUGGGGAAUAACAACCGGAAACGGUUGCUAAUACCGCAUAAUGCAGCGGCACCUAAUGGUGACAGUUGUUAAAGCGGGGGAUCGAAAGACCUCGCGUCUGAAGAGGAGCCUGCGGCGGAUUAGCUAGNGGUAAGGUAAUGGCUUACCAAGGCGACGAUCCGUAGCCGGCCUGAGAGGGGCGGUCGGCCACACUGACACUGACAUACGGGUCAGACUCCUACGGGAGCAGCAGUCGGGAAUUUGGGCAAUGGGCGAAAGCCUGACCCAGC
rnacentral:rRNA from 1 species